rnacentral:rRNA from 1 species
AACGAACGCUGGCGGCAUGCCUAACACAUGCAAGUCGAACGAGACCUUCGGGUCUAGUGGCGCACGGGUGCGUAACGCGUGGGAAUCUGCCCUUGGGUUCGGGAUAACAGUUGGAAACGACUGCUAAUACCGGAUGAUGACUUCGGUCCAAAGAUUUAUGGCCCAGGGAUGAGCCCGCGUCGGAUUAGCUAGUUGGUGAGGUAAGAGCUCACCAAGGCGACGAUCCGUAGCUGGUCGGAGAGGAUGGUCAGCCACACUGGGACUGAGACACGGCCCAGACUCCUACGGGAGGCAGCAGUGGGGAAUAUUGGACAAUGGGCGAAAGCCUGAUCCAGCAAUGCCGCGUGAGUGAUGAAGGCCUUAGGGUUGUAAAGCUCUUUUACCCGGGAUGAUAAUGACAGUACCGGGAGAAUAAGCCCCGGCUAACUCCGUG